rnacentral:lncRNA from 1 species
AUGCCAUCCAGUGACUUGAUGAAGUCUGAAAACCAUACUCAGAAGGGCAGGGAAAGCUCAUGUAACCAAGAAGAAUUCAAAGUGCCUUCAUUAGAGGACUCUGCUCAGGCCCUAAACAUAACUAAAGGAAAUAUUAAUCAUGCUGUUGGCAAGUACAAAUGGAAUUCAUCCACUGACAUGCCCCAACCUAGCAACGAUGCCAUCACGGAGAAGGCUGAGGGAAACUAUAAGAAACAGGCAGCGCUGUCACUAGGUGACACCGCAAACACAGAAAAUAAUAUUAGAGGACAGAUGAAUAGCUUAAGCAACAACACGGAAAAAGAAUCAUCUACUAAUUAUUUUGUGGCACAUGGAAAUUAUCUUGUAGAAGAGAAUUGUUCUCGUAGACCUGACAGGCACCAAUUAUUGGCAUCAAAUGAACCAGCAAAGCAUGAGAAUAGUACAUCAACAGAAAGGAGUCUCCUCAGUGACAAUGGGAAGUACCAAAUUUCAGCACCAAAGUAUCUUUUGACACCUGGAAAUGGUUCUAUGGAAGAUAAUGCACAUCAUAAGCUUGACACACACCAAUUACCUACUUCAAGUGAGAUGGCAAAGUACAAAACCAAUGCCUCAGUGGAAAGGAAUACCUUGGGUGAUAUUGAAAAGAACCAUAUGCCAAUAUCGAGUUAUGCCAAGACACAGGCAAACAAUGCAACAACGACAGAACGUAUCUUGGGUGAUUUUGAAAAGAAACAAAGUACAACAUCAGAUUAUGCUAUAGCACAGGAAAAUAGGCCAAGAAUAGAGAGGACUUUAUUGAGUGAUAUUGAAAAGAACCAAAUUCCAACAUCUCAUUAUUCCAUGAUUCAAGAAAUUAGUGCAAGAGAGAAUUCUUGCCCUUGCUUAGACAAGGAACAGUUGGCUUCUACUGAAUUGGCAAAGAGAAAAAGCAACACCGAAUCAGCAAGACUUUCUAUUGGCACAGAGAAGACCUCUGACGUGGAGAGUUGUCAAGCUCCAUUAUCAAAAGUGGUAGUGAAACAAGUAGAUGUUGGUCUGGAAAAAGAGAAAAGCAUUCUAAACAAGUACCAAUUACCUUUGCCCAAUACACUUACAAAGCACAAACCUGAGAUCGCAGAGGAAGAUAACUCCAAGUUCAGUUGUGGAGAACACCGAGUAACCCUGGAAAAUGUGGGGAGGCAGGGAUAUCCCAGGAUGCAAAAGAAUAAUAGCUUGAGUAACCCAAGGAUAUCCCAGGUGCCACCACCAGAUGAUUCUGAGAUGAAGGAAAUCAAAUCUAGAAGCCAAAAGGCUACCUUCAGCAUUCCUGAAAAGCAUCAGAUACAAUCAUCAAGUGAUUUGGGAGGACCUGAAAACCUUUCUGGCAGAAUGAAGGGUGCCUGCCAAAGCUUAGAGAAGGGCCAGUUACAUUUGCCAAAUGAGGUGGCAAAGCAUGAAAAUAGUCUGGUUCAGAAAGGCAGUGCCCAAGCAGAGAAGAACCAGUUAGUACCUCCAAAGAAUGCUGAGAAGCCUCUAAGCAGCACUUCUGUAGGACAAAUGAAGUCUAUCUCCAAAUUACAGCCCAAGAACAAGAAAACAAAAGAUGACUUGGAGAAGACUGUUAGCAGUAUUACAGAUAAAAAAGAUACUUUCAACAGCAAUGAGAAAUCUCAGAGGCCAUCAUUGAGUGAUGUAAGGAAGAAAGAAAACACUACUUCAAAGUCAAAAGGUACCCAACAAAUCACAAAAAGGAUCAGUGUACCUUCCCCUGAACUUUUAGAGAAAUCUGAUUCUGUUCCUAUAGAAGGUGAAACACUGUGUCCUGAUUCCGAGAGGCCUCAAAUCCCAUCAGCCAGUGACCCAGAGAGGUAUGGAGGCUAUCCUGAGGAGGAGAAGGAAAUCUGGGGCAGAAGAGAUAAAUUGAAAGAACCAGAGAAAAAAGCAAGGUUGGCAUCUUUUGCUAAAUACAAAGCCCAAAGCUUCAGUGACCAAGCCUCCUUUGAUUUAUCAUUUAAAUCGAUGAUUGUUAGAGCAAAUGAUACAUUUACGCUCCCUAAAUAA